rnacentral:lncRNA from 1 species
AGGAGGAGGAGAAAGUGGCUCUCAGCGGCCGGUCGGAUUAAAAGUAACCAGACUCGUCCAGAAAACUGCGUCCAGGAAGGAAGUGACAGAAGACGAAUGGGAAAAGGAGAACAGCUCACAGCGUUUGAAACAUCGCGGCACCACUUUCAGAUAAAAACAUAGACCUGAAUGGCAUCAUCCAGUAUCCAAGGAAACCAUGUUCUCUAAACAUGAAUAUGCCUUUGGGGGAAGACAGAAGAACAUGGAAGCCAUGUGAAAAAAACGGAUCCUAAGGCAGUUUUGAACAUCUGGAGGCCUGAUUUAUUGGAGAUUGCAAAUGUACAGUGUAACAUAGCUGUGGAGAGCGAGAAGAUCAGGAUUGUCAAUGCUGUCAUUGCUUUUACUGGAAUCCCCAGCACGAAUUGAAGGUCUCACUUUGCCACCUAGGCUGGAUGCAAUGCAACGGUAUGUUGAUCUUGGUUCACUGCAGCCUCAACCUCCUGAGCUCAUGUGAUCCUCCCACCUCAGUCCCCCACGUCGCUUGGAUUACAGGCCUGUGCCACCACACCUGGCUAACUUUUUUUGUAAUUUUUGUAGAGACAGGGUCUCACUAUGUUUCCCAUGCUGGUCUUUAAUGCCUGAGCUCAAGCCAUCCGCCUGCCUCGGCCUCCCAAAUUGCUGGGAUUACAGGCAUGAGCCACCAUGCCCAGCCUAAUUCUUCUAAAUCUUAUCCUAGUAAUUAAGCCAGAAUUUUUCUCUGCCAAGACCAAUAGAUGGACCAAGAAGUACUCAUCCUUGUAAACUUUCUUUGGAUAAAUUGCUUACAUAUAAUAAAUUCAGAGUUAAGUAAUAAAAAUAAUGAACUACUGUCUUGAA